UCGGAGGGUGCGUGGACCAGUCGUGAAUCCUGGAAAGAAUGGUUGCCCUGUAGUACCUUUCCAUGUGUGGGAGGCCCAGGCCUCCACAUGACUUGUGUCUGGUGAGAACCUCAUAUGGGAUUCUAGGUUGUUUCUGUGCCCAUAUAAAAGCGGUGAAAAGUUGCCGAAGUUUUGUGAAAAAGGGCUUUGGUAUUGCUAUCGGUAGGGUUUGGAAAAGGUAUAGUAUCUUGGGGAGGGAGUUCAUUUUAAGAAUAUUGAUUCUACAUAGCCAUGAGAACUGUGGUUUUUGCCAGUUUUGCAGGUCUUUUGAGAUAGUUUGGUAUAGUGGGUCGUAGUUUAGUGCGAAGAUGGAAGAGAGAUCCGCCGGCAGACGAACUCCCAGGUAUGUAAUGGAUUUAUCCGCCCAUGUGAAGGGAAAUGCGGCUUGCAGGCUUGUGCGUGAGAGGGGUGCUAUUCGGAUUGGUAGGAUUUCGCUUUUGGAGAAAUUUACCUGAAAAUUUGAGAGUUUAUGGUAUUGGGCUAUCUCCUCUAGGAGUGGGGGCAAGGAAGUGUCAGGAGUUUGUAUGAUGAAGAGUAGAUCAUCAGCGAAAGCUGAGAUUUUGUACUCCACCCCUUGUAUAUGAAUGCCCCUGAUAGCCGGGUUAUCCCGGAUUCCGUUUAGGAAGGGUUCCAGUAUGAGGAUAAAGAGGAGGGGGGAGAGGGGACAGCCCUGUCUCGUGCCGUUUCUAAUGAGUACAGGUUCCGAGAGUUGUCCAUUUACCCUUAGUCUGGCAGUGGGAUUGGAAUAGAUGGCUUGCAUCCAGUCCAACCAUUUGGGACCAAAUCCUAUUUUGCACAGGGUGGCAUUCAGUAGUGUCCAGUCCACUCUAUCGAACGCCUUUUCCGCGUCGAUUGAGAGCAGGAGGCUCUCCGUUGGAAG